rnacentral:rRNA from 1 species
AGCCGCGGUAACACGUAGGGGGCAAGCGUUGUCCGGAAUUACUGGGCGUAAAGGGCGUGUAGGCGGCCAUGUAUGUCAGGUGUGAAAGGCCUCGGCUUAACCGAGGCAUUGCACAUGAAACUGUAUGGCUUGAGUGCAGGAGAGGGGAGUGGAAUUCCUAGUGUAGCGGUGAAAUGCGUAGAUAUUAGGAGGAACACCAGUGGCGAAGGCGACUUCCUGGACUGUAACUGACGCUGAGGCGCGAAAGCGUGGGUAGCAAACAGGAUUAGAUACCCUGGUAGUCCACGCCGUAAACGAUGGGUACUAGGUGUGGGUAGUUCACUCUAUCCGUGCCGCAGCAAACGCAUUAAGUACCCCGCCUGGGGAGUACGGCCGCAAGGUUAAAACUCAAAGGAAUUGACGGGGGCCCGCACAAGCAGCGGAGCAUGUGGUUUAAUUCGAAGCAACGCGAAGAACCUUACCAGGGCUUGACAUCCACAGUAGGCAUUAGAGAUAGUGCUGUGCCUCGUAAGAGGAACUGUGAGACAGGUGGUGCAUGGCC